GACGAACGCUGGCGGCGUGCUUAACACAUGCAAGUCGAACGGAAAGGCCUCUUUCGGGUGGUACUCGAGUGGGGAACGGGUGAGUAACACGUGAGUAACCUGCCCUUUACUUUGUGAUAACUUCAGGAAACUGGGGCUAAUACCUGAUAGCAGCUCCUACCGCCUGGUGGGGGUUGGGAAGUUUCGGCGGUUGGGGGUGGGCUGGCGGCGUAUCAGCUUGUGGUUGGGGUAGUGGCUUACGAAGGCGUUGACGGGUAGCCGGCCUGAGAGGGUGAGCCGCGACAUUGGGACUGAGAUGAGGCACAGACGCCGACGGGAGGAAGCAGGGGGGAAUCUUGCACCAUGGGUGGAAGGCGGAUGCAGAAACCCCGUGUGCUGGAUGACGGUCUUCGGGGUGAAAACCGGCUUCGCUCAUGAAGAAGCUUUGUGUGACGGUAGUGAGUAAAGAAGCACCGGCUAACUACGUG
rnacentral:rRNA from 1 species